CGAGUACAGUGGCAGACGGGUGAGUAACACGUGGGUAACCUGCCCGGAGGUGGGGGAUAACCCUUCGAAAGGAGGGCUAAUACCGCAUAACAUCCCGGAGUCCUCGGAUCCCGGGAUCAAAGCUUGCCUCUGCUUGCACGCAAGCGCCACCGGAGGGGCCCGCGCCCCAUUAGCUUGUUGGUGAGGUAACGGCUCACCAAGGCGACGAUGGGUAGCCGGCCUGAGAGGGUGUCCGGCCACACUGGAACUGAGACACGGUCCAGACUCCUACGGGAGGCAGCAGUGAGGAAUCUUGCGCAAUGGGCGAAAGCCUGACGCAGCGACGCCGCGUGGAGGACGAAGGCCUUCGGGUCGUAAACUCCUGUCAAGAGGGACGAAUCCCGGACGGAUGAAUAAGCCGGCCGGUUGACGGUACCUCUGGAGGAAGCCCCGGCUAACUCCGUGCCAGCAGCCGCGGUAAU
rnacentral:rRNA from 1 species